CCGCAAAUAAUAUAAACUAACUGCAGUUUAUUGGGUCAUCUUGAACUGGCCAUCCCAGAAUCAAUCAAGUCUCAAUUCAAUUCAGUUGGCACUGCUUGGGAAAAGUUCAAAAGUGAAUGCAAAUGGAUAUGAAGCCUUUUUUGACCCUUUGAUAAAAGAUUUAAAGUGUCUUGAGCAGGAUGGCAUCUUUGUUCAAAGGCUUGGAAAGAACGUUAGGGGAGCAGUGUUCACUGUUUCUGCGGAUAAUCUUGGAGCACAUGGACUUGCAGGGUUUCAAGAGAGUUUCAGGGUGGAGAAGUUCUGUCGAUUUUGUUUGGCAUCUUUAAACGACAUUCAAAACACAGAGGUGAGAGAAGGUAUUUUUCAGCUAAGAAGUCCAGAACAACAUGAUUGCUGCAUAACAGAGUUGAACAGCAGUGAGACUUUAUCGUCUGUGGAUGGUGUGAAAUCUGAAUGUGUUCCACAGAAACAUCUUAAAUUCUUCCACACCAUUACUGGCUUCCCUCCAGAUCUAAUGCAUGACCUUUUUGAGGGAAUAGUGCCUUUUGAGAUAAGUUUAUGUCUGAAGAAAUGGAUUGAGUCUAAAUAUUUUACUCUUGAAGAGCUAAACAACAAAAUCCACUCAUUUCAAUACUGCUUUUCUGACCAGGUUAACAGACCUCAAAAAAUUCCAAAGACUUUUUCUUCAAAGAAAACAAUUGGAGGAAACGCUCACGAAAACUGGACCUUACUAAGACUGAUAUCUCUGAUGAGUGGUGGUUUGGUGCCUGAGAGUGACAAGACGUGGGAUCUCAUCAUGGAUUUGAAAGAUAUUGUCGAGCUUGUGGUAAGCCAAAAACUUACAGUGGAGGCUGUCUGGUAUCUGGAAAGCAAGAUUUCCUGCCAUCGUGAGUUGUUUAAAGAGGUCUUUCCUGAUGCAUACUUGCGUCCAAAACAUCACUUUCUUGAACACUGUCCUUACCUGAUCUGUUGCUUUGGUCCUCUAGUGGAUCUGUGGACAAUGCGCUUUGAGGCAAAGCACAGUUUUUUCAAGAAGGUUGUUCAUGAAACACAGAAUUUCAGAAACCUUCUCAAGACGUUAUCCAACAAGCAUCAACUCAUGAUGGCAUGCACAAUUGACUCGCAUAGCUUUUUUAAAGCACCUCUACAUGUCGAAAAUGUUAAGGUACUUAAAAUAUCCUCUCUUGAUGCAAGGCUGAGAUUGGCAGUUGAGAACAAGUAUGCAAACCAAACUUCCUUUUCUUUAACCACAAAGGCAACUGUACAUGGAACCCAGUACAGUCGAGGAAUGAUUCUGUGUAUUGGAAAUGGAAAUGGAUUUCCAGAGUUUGGUCAGAUUGAUCAUAUCCUAAUUUGUGGCACAGAGGUUGCAUUCAUUGUGCACAGACUUACCUCAUGUUACAUUGAACAUUUCCGGGCGUAUGAGAUAAAUCAAAGUACGCACUGUGAUGUUGCAAUUGUGACUCCACAAGAGCUUGUUGAUUUUUAUCCUCUGGCUGCUUACAAUGUUGGCGGAAGACGCAUGGUUGUACCAAAGAGAUUUUUACUUGGUUGAUUACUUGGUUGUUCUAAACUUACCAAUUCUGCUCAUACUGUCCCCUGUCCUCCAGGUUGCAAUGUUGCUGCGAGUCAUUCUUUCACCUGACAACGUUAGAAUAAUAUCUGUGCCUACCCCAUCCUCAGUAGAAGAACUUUGCACGUGUAUUGUGUGAAAAAUUGCAAAUAGAGAAAGGCUUUACCAUUCAGUAUGAAGAUCCAGAUUUCAAUAAUCAACUUUGUAAUUUGCAUGACAUCUCCGAGCUUCCACCAGAAAAAGCUACUUUGAGACUUCAUUGGGAAUUAUUUUUAACCCCAAUUUCAGUGCAUUCUGAAUUGACAGAUCCCCCUGCAGAUGCAGAAAGCACAUUAUCCGUCCAACCAUCUACAUCAGCAACUUCCUCAGAUUCAACACAGGUCGCUUCUCUAUUAAGGUCAGAACAUUGGCCAAGCAAGUUUCCAAUACCCUGCUUCUCCUAUGAUGUGGAACUAAAGCUUCAGAAAGCCAAUGAGGAAUACGAGAAAAAUGGAAAGUCCUUAACUGUCUCAAGAGACAUCUUGAUGGAAGUGUUGGGCAAGUUGGCAGAAGCCAUAUACACAUUUAAGGCAUACCCAAAGGACACUGAUUUGAAGAAGGUUGCAUCUGCAUUGAUAGAGAAGCAUCCCUGCCUUAAACGUCCUGGAUCUGAAACUGGAUGUGAAGGAUGGACAUUAAGUUUGAAGAACAAAAUGCAGAAUUACCAUCAAAAACUUCGUGAGCUUGGUUGUGCAGAAUUGAUACUGAAUAGACGAGAUGCAUCCAAACAAACAGUGAAAAGACCAAGAAGAUCUGAACUGAACAUUCUUCCUGACAUUCCAACUGGUUUUGAUGAAGAAGCUUUGGAGAAUGAACGCAAAUGGAUGGAAGAAGAGGUGAAGAAGAAAGAUGUGAACAUAUGAGAUUUGAACACAAAGAUGGAUUUCACCUUCUCUCUUAGAAGACGUGAGGUUGUUGAAGAUCAGCCUCUUGUAUCAACACUCAAUCAACGAUGGCCAGCACUCUUUAAUGAGGAACAGGUUUAUGCAGAAUUUAGAAGGAUCAACCAUUUAGACCUUAAAUCCACAUUCCUUACAUCAUUGGAUAACAACUCCAGAGGCUUGCUGAAACUCUUCAGGGCAAAAGUAAUACAGAGAGGCGAUUGUGACUUGGAGACUUUGCUGGACAAUCUAGAUGAACAGAUGGCAGACUUAACUGUGCAGAGAAGGGCUACUGCUCUUCGGGGUCUUCCUUUUUAUUUCAAGGAACAUGGAACCAUAUGCAAGACUAUUCUGAGUUCAGAGGCAUUGGAGCAUCACAAAGUUGGAAUGAAAAUGGGAAUUCUUGAAGUGGUGAGCAGCAACAGUUCCACUUCAAGAUCCCUCUCCGAUGUGGUAAAUGUUGCAAUUGUCCUUGAAGAGGAAGUUGUCCUGGAAAACAUGGGAGACUUUGUGAGUGCGUUCAUUGUCCUCUUUGGCAUGCUCUACGCACUAAACAUGGAGUACAACAAGGACUUAAGAUAUACUUUUGAAUUCAUUCAGAAGGUCUUUUUGAACAUGGGAACUGAGUGCAGCAAAAAAGUGCAAACUCUGAUGAGCAAAUUAUUGGAAAACUAAGUGAAAUUUCACUUAACCCUUACGGGAGAGGUACCCUUAAGCUCAAAGUACCUUUUGUGAGAAUGUUUUUUGCUGCUUUCUAUAUAUUUGUAAAUGUGUUUACAUGUUUAAUAUUUGAUGAGUAAGAUGCAGUUUCAUGAGCUUAUAUUAAGAUGAAAUUACACUAAACACAACCCUGAAGUAAUUUUUUACUUCAGACUUUUGUAGCGUUUCAAAUAUUUGUAAAUGUUUUACAAAAAUUCAAGUAAAUUUAUGAAUAUUUAAAGUU